UACGAAGGGGGCUAGCGUUGCUCGGAAUCGACUGGGCGUAAAGCGCACGUAGGCGGAUUGCUAAGUCAGGGGUGAAAUCCUGGAGCUCAACUCCAGAACUGCCUUUGAUACUGGCGACCUUGAGUCCGGGAGAGGUGAGUGGAACUGCGAGUGUAGAGGUGAAAUUCGUAGAUAUUCGCAAGAACACCAGUGGCGAAGGCGGCUCACUGGCCCGGUACUGACGCUG
rnacentral:rRNA from 1 species